AACGAACGCUGGCGGCGCGCUUAACACAUGCAAGUCGAACGAGAAGCUGUAGCAAUACAGUUGUACAGUGGCGAACGGGCGAGGAAUACAUGGGUAACCUACCCUCGAGUGGGGAAUAACCAGCCGAAAGGCUGGCUAAUACCGCGUACGCUUCCCAGUCUGCGGGUUGGGAAGGAAAGCUCUACCGUGGGUAGAGCGCUCAAGGACGGGCUCAUGUCCUAUCAGCUUGUUGGAGGGUAACGGCCUACCAAGGCAACGACGGGUAGCUGGUCUGAGAGGACGAUCAGCCACACUGGCACUGCGACACGGGCCAGACUCCUACGGGAGGCAGCAGUGAGGAAUAUUGCGCAAUGGGCGACAGCCUGACGCAGCGACGCCGCGUGAGGGAUGACGG
rnacentral:rRNA from 1 species